CUCGUCCCCCGCACACCCUAGCGAACCCUAGCGCUCCCCGAUCCCUCUCACCUCCCCUCCCCUCGCCGCCACCCACCCCUCCCAUCGCUCUCCAAGAUCCAGCGUGCUCCCCGAUCCAUGAUACAUGAUCGGACGGUGCGCUAGGCAAGAUCCAGUGCGCGGCCUUCCUCUCCUCGAUCCCCAAUCCGGCUACAGAGAUGGCUGCUCCCACGCCGACCUUCUUCCUCGCCCCUGAUGCCGCUACUGUCUCCUCUCCGGUGAGUGCGGAGGAGCCACCGCCGUCGAGGCAGCCGCCGGCUGGAGCCCCGCCUCUUCUCCUCUCCGGUCGUCGUGGAGGUCCGCCGCGUCCAACCUCCUCGACGCCGCCCGGAACCCUAGGCGGCCCAUCUCUUCCUCCCAUGGCCAUGGCCAUGGCGAGCCUGCAAGAUGUGCAGCAGCAGAUCUUCGAGUACAACGGCUCCGCACCCUGCAGCCACCGGUCCGGGACGAGCGCAGCGCCGGUUCGGGUGUCCUGCGCCAACCAGAGCGCGCCCCAGGUGCUCGACAGAACGCCCGCUGCACCGCCUGGUCUCAACUUUCUUCCCCUUUGCCAAGCCGAGGGAGAGGGCUAGGGGCUCGGGUGGUGCAGUGGCUGUAAGAAUACGCUCGGGAACGUCGAGUCAGGUCUACUAGGGCGGCAUCCGCGGCUGUCGUCGUCGGCUACUUCAUCUACAAAGGCUCCAAGCUCGCCCACGACUCCACUGCCCUCCAGUAUGCAUACCCAAGUCAAGCUUGCAGUCAUGAUGAAGGUGCUGAUCUGGGUUUCCUAUCUUCAGAAGUAAAAUGUUUGCUUGCUACCUUCUUUAGGGUGCUGUACUUCAUUCGUGUUUCAUCGUGGGCUCCAGGACAAAGAAGUCGGGAGAAUCAUAGACUUCUAGCUCAUUGGAGCUAGUUAUAAUUCGAUAGCUAGUUAUUUUUUCAUUCUUUAGUUGUGUUACUUGAUGCAGACUAUUUUUGAUUGUAAACCUGAUGUGAACCAUGUUUGGUCGCAAUGUGCCAGGUUUGGCUCUAUUUGAUUGUAUUCAUGGUUUGAACCAUGUUUCCAUGAUAUUUAGUUAUGCUCUGUUUGAA